CUGCCGCCGCCGCGCAAGACUGCUGACAGACAUUCUCAAGGAUGACAGCAAUUCUAACUCUGAAUUCGUGCAAUCUUUUCAUGGGAACCUGUGCGAUGAUGAUGCCUUGAAAGUCAUCAAGUUGGGGAUUCCUGGUUGAUUUUGUUGAAGCCAUUAUGGAGGUAGUUCCAUCCAAUUUGAUCACAUCUCAGGAUAAAGACUGCAAUUUUGUAACUUUUAAUUUGAUUCCAUAUUCCAGACAGCUUAUACUGUCUAAAGUCUUCGAUAUUUCUUUAUGCCUAUGCAGAUCUUGCAUUUUUUUAUAUUAAAAGCAAAGUUUUUGAAAGAAGUUAGUUGCUAUUUAAAAACAUUGCAACUUUUUCAUGUGAGGUUGUUAGAAAAUACUACGUGAUUUCACAUAAUUUUGUGCCCAACAAACUCAAGGUUACCAUGUGAAAUUCUUAGUGUUUGUUUGGCUUUUGUUCUUGUUUUCUGUUUCUGCUUUCAGUUUUUAGGACUCUAGGAAGAAGUGGUAAAACAUGAAACGAAAAUAGAAAACACCAUCUUGAUAAAUAGUGUAUAGUUUCUGCUGAGUGAGUGGUGAAAAUGUUGCUUGACAAAUGGUUUUUAUCCCAAACUGAAAAGCUACUUGUUCAUCAUGCAUGAUCUUGUUAACUAAAAUAAAUAUUGCUAAUUGUGUUCUCUCCGUUCUCCUACUUAUAACUACAGGAUAAGCCAGCUUUCAUAUUCUGUGUCGAAGACAGAGCACUCUUUUUUUUGAAGAGCAACUUUUUUAUUGUUUUGGUAAACUUAUCCAGGAUUCAAGAGCCGCGUUAAGUUCUUUAGUAUUCUUGAUCCAACAAGACCCUGUAAUUAUGUUUCUGAAAUCUCUGAUGCUGGAUUUCUUGGUCCUCUUUUCAAGGUUACCAUGGAAGAACAUCCAACUGAAGCUUUCACAAACACAUCAGCGGAUAAGUGUUGGGAAACAAUUCUUGACAGACUAAA